rnacentral:snoRNA from 1 species
GGCUUCCUGGUAUUAUCUCAGACUGUUCUUACACUGACUGUUUAGAAAUUGGAGGCAAAGUAUACCUAUGCUAUGUUCACCUCAGCCAUGAUUGUUCUGCAUUGUGAAUUGGUAACAAAAAA